rnacentral:rRNA from 1 species
CCUACGGGUGGCAGCAGUGGGGAAUAUUGCGCAAUGGGCGAAAGCCUGACGCAGCGAAGCCGCGUGAGGGAUGACGGUCUUCGGAUCGUAAAACUCUUUCAGCAGGGAAGAACGGUCACUGUGCUAAUCAGCAGUGAAUUGACGGUACCUGCAAAGGAAGCACCGGCUAACUCCGUGCCAGCAGCCGCGGUCAUACGGAGGGUGCGAUCGUUAAUCGGAAUUACUGGGCGUAAAGCGCGCGUAGGCGGUAUGUCAAGUCAAGGGGGAAAUCCCCGCGCGCAACGUGGGAACUGCCUUUGAAACUGGGAAACUGGAGUGUGUGAGAGGUGAGUGGAAUUCCAGGUGUAGGAGUGAAAUCCGUAGAGAUCAGGAAGAACAUCAGUGGCGAAGGCGACUAUCUGGCACAUAACUGACGCUGAGGAGCGAAAGCGUGGGUAGCAAACAGGAUUAGAUACCCUUGUAGUC